CCUACGGGGGGCAGCAGUAGGGAAUCUUCGGCAAUGGGGGCAACCCUGACCGAGCAACGCCGCGUGAGUGAAGAAGGUUUUCGGAACGUAAAGCUCUGUUGUAAGUCAAGAACGAGUGUGAGAGUGGAAAGUUCACACUGUGACGGUAGCUUACCAGAAAGGGACGGCUAACUACGUGCCAGCAGCCGCGGUAAUACGUAGGUCCCGAGCGUUGUCCGGAUUUAUUGGGCGUAAAGCGAGCGCAGGCGGUUUGAUAAGUCUGAAGUUAAAGGCUGUGGCUCAACCAUAGUUCGCUUUGGAAACUGUCAAACUUGAGUGCAGAAGGGGAGAGUGGAAUUCCAUGUGUAGCGGUGAAAUGCGUAGAUAUAUGGAGGAACACCGGUGGCGAAAGCGGCUCUCUGGUCUGUAACUGACACUGAGGCGCGAAAGCGUGGGGAGCAAACAGGAUUAGAUACCCGGGUAGUC
rnacentral:rRNA from 1 species